UAUCAGUUGUAGGCCUACCCGGAUGUGUUUACUUCCUGUACAUUAGCGCGGGGUGAAGAGGUCCAAAGUUGAAAAGUUAACGGCAGGACACGUUUCAAUCAGCUUUGACAUGUCUGAAGUGAGCAACCAGCUGCCCAAAGACCCCAUAUCUGCAGUUGGAGUAAUCACUUCCCUCAGUAAGGCCCCUGAAGGCUACUAUGUUGUUGCACAAACAACAGAUGGCUCUGACGCCGACCUGUGGAAGGACGGCUUAUUCAAAUCCAAGGUCACUCGCUACCUUUGUUUCACCAGAAAGACUGGGGCUGACGUUGUUGUGGACAUGCAGCUGAUUGACAUUAAGGACGCGUUGCCAGAGGGCUUCACACCUGUGGAAGAAACAUUGGACACAAAGGAAACUGCCAUGAGGAAGAGGAGGCUCUGCGUGAAAAUCAUCCCUCGUGCGGCUGCUGUGACGGCUGUGUAUGACAUCCAGAUCGUUGCCAAGUCCAAGUACCAUCUUGUUAACUACACCAGUAUAGGUGAGAUCAACAGUAUGUUGAUAUGGUACCGAAUGGGUGACGCUCCUCAGCAUCAGUCGUCCCAGGAAACGUCCAGUGAAGUUGACAGUGCCGCUCCAGCCAACACAGUAAGGAAGACCCCGACCCGGCAGGACUCUGAGCCCCAGAGCAGUGGGAACUACACCAUGACUGCUCUGGACGACGUGCCCUUUGUCAUCGCUGAAAAGUUUUGUGACAAUCCCAAAGAGAUGCAGCAAGUCAAUUUAAUGGGCAUUACCAUCAAAUCCCUGGCAGAGAUCGAGGAGGAAUUUUACUACAACUUCAGCACAGAGCGGAGCAUCGCUGUGUGACCUUCCACGCUGCGGUCUCACCUUGCCAGACUGACACACAACGACUGAAACACUACUGACUGAAAGGAUCAUGACCGUGCUGAGUCGCAGUCAUGCAGGACGGAAAGAGCGGCCUCAUCCCACGCAAACAGGUCUCUGAUGUUCAUUUCCAGCAGAGGCAUCUCUCCAUCACAAAGUCCUUCAUGAGCAGCGUGCGGCACCAACGAGCAGAGCUUUGAGACGCAGGAGCCUUUCCCCCCGACACACGCCCACAUCAGAAGUGACUGCUCUCCUGAGUCAGGUCUUUAAGAGUAGAACAGAUCAGCUCUGUGAACACGUUAUUAGUGACUAUUAUAUUUGUUAUUUCUAUGUACACCUGUAUAGAGAAUUGUUUUGAAGGAACAGAAGAAAAAGUGGAAGUUGUUUUUCACUACUUUAAAAUGCGCAACCCUUAACUUACUAAUUAUCCAACAUUUCAUGCAUAUAUUUCUUUAAUUAGGUGUUUUUUUUCUUCUUUAACAAACUAAACAACACUUUGCUGCCAGAUCCAGAAGCAGAGUUUACACUUGGAUACCAGAACAUCACUUUCUUCUCACUCCAGCUCACAUGUGUCAUUUGCAACUAAUUAAACUGUCAGAAUCUAUUUGCACAUUUUUGCAGGUGUAAUUAGUAUUAGAAACUCAUUA